rnacentral:rRNA from 1 species
AGCGAACGCUGGCGGCAGGCUUAACACAUGCAAGUCGAGCGGGCCCUUCGGGGUCAGCGGCAGACGGGUGAGUAACACGUGGGAACGUACCCUUUGGUUCGGAAUAACGCUGGGAAACUAGCGCUAAUACCGGAUACGCCCUUUUGGGGAAAGGCUUGCUGCCGAAGGAUCGGCCCGCGUCUGAUUAGCUAGUUGGUGGGGUAAUGGCCUACCAAGGCGACGAUCAGUAGCUGGUCUGAGAGGAUGAUCAGCCACACUGGGACUGAGACACGGCCCAGACUCCUACGGGAGGCAGCAGUGGGGAAUAUUGGACAAUGGGCGCAAGCCUGAUCCAGCCAUGCCGCGUGAGUGAUGAAGGCCUUAGGGUUGUAAAGCUCUU